rnacentral:tRNA from 1 species
GGGCCUAUAGCUCAGUUGGUUAGAGCAACGGACUCAUAAUCCGUCGGUCGUAGGUUCGAGUCCUACUGGGCCCACAA